rnacentral:rRNA from 1 species
GAUGAACGCUAGCGGCAGGCUUAACACAUGCAAGUCGAGGGGCAGCAGGAGUAGCAAUACUUGCUGGCGACCGGCAAACGGGUGCGGAACACGUACGCAAUCUACCUUCAACUGGGGCAUAGCCCGAAGAAAUUCGGAUUAACACCCCAUAACAUAACUAACAGGCAUCUGUUUGGUUAUUAAAACUGAGGUGGUUGGAGAUGAGCGUGCGUCCCAUUAGAUAGUUGGUAGGGUAACGGCCUACCAAGUC